AGAACGAACGCUGGCGGCAGGCUUAACACAUGCAAGUCGAACGCCCCGCAAGGGGAGUGGCAGACGGGUGAGUAACGCGUGGGAAUCUACCCAGUUCUACGGAAUAACACAGGGAAACUUGUGCUAAUACCGUAUACGCCCUACGGGGGAAAGAUUUAUCGGGAUUGGAUGAGCCCGCGUUGGAUUAGCUAGUUGGUGGGGUAAUGGCCUACCAAGGCGACGAUCCAUAGCUGGUCUGAGAGGAUGAUCAGCCACACUGGGACUGAGACACGGCCCAGACUCCUACGGGAGGCAGCAGUGGGGAAUAUUGGACAAUGGGCGCAAGCCUGAUCCAGCCAUGCCGCGUGAGUGAUGAAGGCCUUAGGGUUGUAAAGCUCUUUCAGUGGGGAAGAUAAUGACGGUACCCACAGAAGAAGCCCCGGCUAACUUCGCGCCAGCAGCCGC
rnacentral:rRNA from 1 species